rnacentral:tRNA from 1 species
GCAUCUUUAGUUUAAUGGUUAAAACGAGAAUCUUCGAAAUUCAUAAUAAUGGUUCAAUCCCAUUAAGAUGUU